rnacentral:lncRNA from 10 species
UGAACGUCGGUGGAUCCCUUGAGUUUUAAAUGUCUGAAUGGCAGCCACUAAUUCUGGCAUCUGAAGCUCUUGGAAGCCUACUCCUGUUGUUGCCACUGACUUCUAUGCCCAUUUAGUGGGGCUUUGGCUGUGGGAAUCAUACGCAGCACUGGAUGACGGAGCUCUCACCACAUGGGAUCUGAUGCUGUCUCCAGGUAGCUGGUGUUAGAACUGAAUUAGAGGGACAGCCUGGUAGUGGGAACAACACACAUUUGGUCACAGAAGUCAUCUGCUGUGUUGAUGAUUAUUGUGGUGUGAGAGCAGAGAGAAAACAGGGCUGAGUAUUUUCCCUAAACAGUGGUGUACAUUCAAAUCCCUGAUGAGGCUGGGCGUGGUGGCUCCCGCCUGUCAUUUCAGCACUUUGGGAGGCUGAGGCAGGAGAACUGCUUGAACCCAGGAGGUGGAAGUUGCAGUGAGCCGAGAUUGUGCCACUGCACUCCAGCCUGGGUGACAGAGUGAGACUGUCCCAAAAAAGAAAAAACCUAAUGGCAAAUUUUCAAGAGGCAACUUAAUGUGGCUCUGUGGACACUUAGCUUAGUAGGGGGUAGGGAAUCCAUUUACAGUGAUAUAAAGGAGCACCUGAGGCUGGGUAGUUCAUAAAUGAGAUAAUUGGCUCACAGUUUUACAGGCUGUACAAGCACGCCUCCAGCAUUUGCUUGGCUUCUGGGAGGCCUCAGGAAGCUUACAAUCAUGGCAGGAGGAGAGAGUACAAAGAGAGGAGGUGCCAGGGUCUUUUUUUUUUUUGAGACGGAGUCUCACUCUGUUGCCCAGG